UACACCUGAUAAAAUCAGAGAAAUCGAAUUCCAACGAAUUGGGUCCGUAGAAAAUCCAUUUCUCAGUACAUAUCGAUCUUUUCUGUCUAGAUUGUCAUUUGGGUUUUGUUGUAUAUAGAAAGAGAGAGUUGGGUGUUACGAAAAUCCAUUUCUCAAAACACAAAUUUGAGUUCUUUGUCGCUUUUAAUUUGGAUUCUGUUGUAUUGAGAGAGAGAGAGAGAGAGAGAGAGAGAGUUGGGUGCGAAGAAAUCCAUUUAUCAAUACAUAAAGAGAGGGCUGGGUUUGAAGAAAAUCCAUUUCUCAAUACAUACAUAUGAUUUCUUUGUAGAUUUUAAUUUGAAUUUUGUUGUAGAAAGAGUGAGAGAAUGAAGUUCUGUAAGAGAUAUCAGGAAUACAUGCAAGGGCAGGAGAAACAGCUUCCUGGGGUUGGAUUCAAGAAGCUGAAGAAGAUUUUGAAGAGGUGUAGGAGAGAAGUUCAGCCCCAGAAAGAGAGAAAUGCGAUUCUCCCCAUGCACAAAUGCCCAGAUCAAUGCACGGUGUGCGACGGGACUUUCUUCCCCUCUCUUCUCAAGGAGAUGUCUGAAGUCGUCGGUUGCUUUAACGAGCGAGCACAAAAAUUACUCGAGUUGCAUUUGUCUUCGGGGUUCCGAAAAUAUUUUAUAUGGUUUAAAAGCAAGCUGCAAGGGAAUCACAUUGCUCUGAUACAAGAAGGCAAAGAACUGGUUACUUAUGCGAUGAUUAAUGCCAUUGCAAUUAGGAAAAUUCUGAAGAAAUAUGACAAGGUCCAUUACUCUAAGCAAGGUCAGGCCUUCAGAUCACAAGCCCAAAGCAUGCACAUUGAGAUUCUCCAAUCUCCAUGGCUCUCUGAGUUGGUGGCUUUUCACAUUAACUUGAGGGAAAGCAAGUCUGGAAAAACGACUGUUCAUGGGUUGUUUGAGGACUGCUCGCUCACAUUCGACGGUGAUAAACCAUCACUCACAUUUGCAUUGUUUGAUUCUGUCAAGUUGGAUAUCGACCUUACUUGUUCUAUCUGCUUGGACACAGUAUUCGAUCCGGUUUCUCUUACAUGUGGCCAUAUCUUUUGCUAUAUGUGUGCUUGUUCUGCUGCAUCAGUGACCAUUGUUGACGGAUUAAAGUCCGCAAAACCCAAAUCAAAAUGUCCUUUAUGCCGUCAGGAAGGAGUAUAUGAAGGUGCUGUGCAUUUGGAGGAGCUGAGCCUUUUAUUGAGUAGACGCUGCCACGAGUAUUGGGAGCAACGGCUGCAAAGAGAGAGAGUAGAGCGUGUUCAGCAGGCAAAGAAGCAUUGGGAAUCCCAGUGCCGAGCAUUCAUGGGCGUAUGAGAGAAUUCAACACCAUCCGGGCAUGUUUUUCUUGUACAAAUAUUACCAGUGGGAAAUGAUAUGAUUAGGAUGUCUCUAUCAUAUUACAAUGUGGCCUCCCUUCCAACAUUCAUGUGGUAGGAGCAAGGUGUUCCGUAACGGUAACGGUGGCUGUAACGGCCACCACUAUUACCUUUACGAUACAGGGCAUAACGGCUGUUACGGCCCCAUAACGGCCGUUGCGGUCUCUCUCUUUUAUUUUUUUAUUUAUUGAAAAAAAACCCAGAAAAACCUAUAUCUGCCCUGUAAUGUUGAUUAAAAAUUAUGAAAAACCUGUAUAUGUCCCAUAAUAGACCAUUGCGGGGCUAUUAUGGCUUUUAUAAGGGAUGUAACGUGCCGUUAAUAGCAAUUACAUUUCAUUGUUUUUUCAUAAUAGCCAUUACGGCCGUUACGACCCCGUAAUGUGUAAUGGUUGCCACCGUUACCUUUACGUAACGGCCUUUACGGCACACCAUGGGUAGGAGGGAUGGUAGAUCAGGACUGUCCAUGUAGUGGGCCCCACCACAUGUAUGGUCAAUGGUUCAAAAGUCACUGAAUUAGGGUGAUUCUGGAUAUUUAAUUGGUAGCCUAAAAACAAUGGAGAAAUCCGAGGAAGUGAUAACUAGGAUUGUCAUGGAUUUUGAACCGUGGACCAUCCACAAUAGGGCCCACUAGGUGGACGGUCCCAAAUCACCAUCAAGGUAUUCAAAAUCGGUUACGUAAUAGCCUUACAUAACGGUAACGGUCAUAACCGUUAUGCAUUACUGGGCCGAAACGACCGUAAUGGCCGUUAUAAAAAAAAUAGGUCAUAAUGGCCCUGUAAUGUCCCGUGAUGGCUCGUAACGGUUCUGUAAUAGUUUUUUCAAAAAAUAAAAAGCAGCUCUAAUGGCUGAUACAUGGCCGUAAUGGCCGUUACGGCCCGUAUCAUGACGGUAACGGUGGUGGCCAUUAUGGCCACUAUUACCGUUUUGGAACACCUUGAUCACCAGAGUGGAAGGUGAUCUAUAUUAUUAUAUGAUAGAGACAAUCAUUUCCAUUUAUCGGGAGCCCUCGAUGUAGGGCUCUUGUGAUUUGCUAAGCUAAAACCAUCGAAGAAGAUAGUAUGAAUUGACUUAUCAACUGUUGCAUUCUACCCUCUUCGUUUGUCGUCGCUGCUGCUUUGUUGCUUCUAUAUUUUCUUCUCAACCAAUCACAGAACUGUAUAUAUUUUGCCCGAACGGAUGCAGCGGCAGUGAAGGAAUUAGAAAGUGCCGUGUUUGGAUGCACCAUCGAAUUGAAUUGUGAUAAUUAUGGGUGUUUUUCUUCUUC